UCCGAUAUGGUGUAGUGGUUAACAUCGUCCGCUUUCAAAGUCUACUCUGUAUACUUAAGAUGGUCCGGACAGCCCCGGGUUCGAUUCCCGGUAUCGGAA
rnacentral:tRNA from 1 species